AGCAGCCGCGGUAAUUCCAGCUCCAAUAGCGUAUAUUAAAGUUGUUGCAGUUAAAAAGCUCGUAGUUGAAUUUCGAGAUCAAUUUGUUGGUCGUGCCUCGGUACGUACUGGCAAUUUUGAUUUCUCCCUUCUGAAGAACCAUGAUGUCAUUAAUUUGGUGUCAUGGGGAAUCAGGACCGUUACUUUGAAAAAAUUAGAGUGUUUAAAGCAGGCUCGCGCUUGAAUACAUUAGCAUGGAAUAAUGAAAUAGGACGUUUGAUUCUAUUUUGUUGGUUUCUAGGAUCGACGUAAUGAUUAAUAGGGAUAGUUGGGGGCAUUAGUAUUCAAUUGUCAGAGGUGAAAUUCUUGGAUUUAUUGAAGACUAACUACUGCGAAAGCAUUUGCCAAGGAUGUUUUCAUUAACCAAGAACGAAAGUUAGGGGAUCGAAGACGAUCAGAUACCGUCGUAGUCUUAACCAUAAACUAUGCCGACUAGGGAUCGGAUGAUGUUAAUUUUUAAUGACUCAUUCGGCGCCUUAAC
rnacentral:rRNA from 1 species